rnacentral:rRNA from 1 species
ACAUUCAAGUCGAACGGGCAGUAGUUCCUUCGGGGGUGCUGCGUAGUGGCGGACGGGUGAGUAACGCGUGAGCGAACCUGCCUCUGUGAGUGGAAUAACACAGGGAAACUUGUGCUAAUACCGCAUGACGAAGCGAAGCCGCAUGACUUUGCUUCCAAAGAUUUAUCGCACAGAGAUGGGCUCGCGUCCGAUUAGGCAGUUGGUGAGGUAACGGCUCACCAAACCGACGAUCGGUAGCCGGACUGAGAGGUUGAACGGCCACAUUGGAACUGAGAUACGGUCCAGACUCCUACGGGAGGCAGCAGUGGGGAAUAUUGGGCAAUGGGCGCCAAGCCUGACCCAGCGACGCCGCGUGAGGGAAGAAGGUCUUCGGAUUGUAAACCUCUUUGACAGGGGACGAAGUAAGUGACGGUACCCUGAAAACAAGCCACGGCUAACUACGUGCCAGCAGCCGC